UUGUGUUUCUUGGUGGUACCACAAUGAAGGCAAUCGAACUUCAAAAUAUUCCACCUAAAUGAUAUUUCUUUAAAGAUUUUGGUGAGAUACUUCAAGGCAAAUGCAAAACCGAUAGACUGGAAGAUAUUAUUGGUGCUGUUAGUGAGAUAAACCAUAUCCAAUCCAACACUCCGGGGAAGAAAAUUGUUGUUUCUGUUGUGCUGAAAGAUUUGAAGGGUAAUUGCAUAAAUUGCAAUUUAUGGGAAAUCUAUGGAUCAAAAUUUUUGGCUUACUACAAUGAUCCUAAAAACAAUGGAGCUAUUGUAAUUCUGCUCACUCAUGCAAU